UACAGAGGGUGCGAGCGUUGUUCGGAAUCAUUGGGCGUAAAGCGCUUGUAGGCGGCCUGUCAAGUCGCGUGUGAAAUCCCUUGGCUUAACCAAGGAAGUGCGCGCGAAACUGGCGGGCUUGAGUGCCGGAGAGGGUCGCGGAAUUCCCGGUGUAGAGGUGAAAUUCGUAGAUAUCGGGAGGAACACCAGUGGCGAAGGCGGCUCACUGGCCCGAUACUGACGCUGAGGCACGAAAGCGUGGGGAGCAAACAGG
rnacentral:rRNA from 1 species